rnacentral:tRNA from 1 species
GCAUCGUCAGCUCAUCGGUAGAGCACUCGACUGAUAAUCGAGAGGCGGGUGGUUCGAUUCCACCACGAUGCACCA